rnacentral:rRNA from 1 species
AUUGAACGCUGGCGGAAUGCUUUACACAUGCAAGUCGAACGGCAGCACGGACUUCGGUCUGGAGGCGAGUGGCGAACGGGUGAGUAAUGUAUCGGAACGUGCCCAGUCGUGGGGGAUAACGUAGUGAAAAUUACGCUAAUACCGCAUACGAUCUAUGGAUGAAAGCGGGGGAUCGCAAGACCUCGCGCGAUUGGAGCGGCCGAUAUCAGAUUAGGUAGUUGGUGGGGUAAAGGCCCACCACGCCAACGAUCUGUAGCUGGUCUGAGAGGACGAACAUCCACACUGGAACUGAGACACGGUCCAGACUCCUACGGGAGGCAGCAGUGGAGAAUUUUGGACAAUGGGCGAAAGCCUGAUCCAGCCAUUCCGCGUGCAGGAUGAAGGCCCUCGGGUUGUAAACUGCUUUUGUACAGAACGAAAAGGUUUCUACUAAUACUAGGAGCUCAUGACGGCACUGUAAGAAUAAGCACCGGCUAACUACGUGCCAGCAGCCGCGGUAA